GCUUGAUCUGAGAGAUAUUAACAAUACGAUUGGAGACUCAAAGCAGCAGCUCACUGAUGUGCUACCGAGACUCAAACUGUGAACUGAGUGUAGAUGAAGAUCCAUUGCCAAGAGCCCCUGAUAGAGUUCAAUCGACAAAAAUCCCUGAUGGAGUUCAAUCCCAGAUACCCCUGAUAGAGUUCAUUCGCCAAAAGAAGGAUGUUUUAUGUCAUAAUUUGAAAUCAUCAUGAGAGUAACAGUAAACAUCAGGUGAAAUAGAGGAGGAAGAAGCUCAGAUGCAUCUCUGGCUCUUCAGUUUAAGGCCAACAAAUAUAAUAUUUGUAUUAAACUCAUCCAUAAUGAUUAAAAUGUUUCUACUCAUAAAUGUGAUUGUCAAGCACAGCACUUAAAUGUAUCAAAAGAAAAUAAAGCAAGUCUACAAUG